rnacentral:rRNA from 1 species
AACGAACGCUGGCGGCAGGCUUAACACAUGCAAGUCGAACGCCCCGCCAGGGGAGUGGCGCACGGGUGAGUACCGCGUGGCUAUCUGCCUUUUGGUUCGUAAUAACCCCGGGAAACUGGGGCUAAUACCGGAUGGUUCCUACGGGAUAAAGAUUUAUCGCCAAAAGCUGAGUCCGCGUACGAUUAGCUAGUUGGUGAGGUAAUGGCUCACCAAGGCGACGAUCGUUAGCUGGUCUGAGAGGACGAUCAGCCACACUGGGACUGAGACACGGCCCAGACUCCUACGGGAGGCAGCAGUGGGGAAUAGUGGACAAUGGGGGCAACGCUGAUCCAGCCAUGACGGGUGAGUGAUGAAGGCCUUCGGGUUGUAAAGCGCUUUUGGCGGGGACGAUGAUGACGGUACCCGAAGAAUAAGCCCCGGCUAACUUCGUG